GGCGGCGCUGCCAACAUCGUCUAAUUCUGAAGGAAACAGCAAAAAGUGAUGAAACAGUGCCUCCUAAACAAGUAUUUUAUUAGCGGCAGCAAAUCAAAUGAUGGCACAGACGGCAGGGAUGGAACGAGGUGUUCAUGGAUUCCGAACUGUUGCCGAGCGGGACUCACCGGCAGCGCAGGCGUCCAGACAGCAUGUCGAACGAGCGCAGGCAGAACUCCUUGUUGUCGCGGUAGGCGAAAGUGUGCCCGUCAUCCAGGUACACUUCACCUUUGGCGCCGCCCUAUCGGAGAUAGGACCAAUAGCACUUCAUGUCAUUCCAAGGUUUCCCGGAAGUACGUCUUUCCACCCCUCUUCCCACUCCUCUUCCCACCUCAGAGUUCAGCGCCACCGUGAUGGACAGCGGCAUCUUCUGGAGGUCGGCGGUACACGUCCCGCCAACGGCGGCCCUGCAGACGACUGAGCCUCCUCGCUGGUACACUGGAACCUGACAGAGGAAAACCAUCGGAGUACAUAUGUCCCUCGAGGUAUGAGCUACACCAGGGGUGCUCAUUAAGUCGAUCGCGAGCUACCGGUCGAUCGCGGAGGUGGUACUGGUCGAUCGCUGGUCGAUCGCGGCGUGACAUUAAAAAAAUAUCAUCCCAGCAUCAAUGCCGUCACUUGAUUGAUAUACAGGGCAGCCAUUCAGAUGACAACUGAAUGUUGCCCUUCGGGCGACCAAUCAAAUCAAACAACGUCUCUAAGUGCAGCAGAACUUACGAUGUCAGCCUAUCAUCCAUUCCCGUUACUUGAUUGACAUACAGGACAACCAGUCAGAUGACAACUGAAUUUUGACCUUUAGGUCACCGCUCAUGCGUAAACAACGAUGCAAAGUGCUAAGCUAGUCGGCGAAUUGCGAGAUUUUAAAGCCCUCGCUAAAGUUUAUGGUCACUAAAAUGAGUGAAGGAGCUGGACCAAGUAAAAAGGCAAAAACUGGACCAAGUAAAAAGGCAAAAAACAUAUCACUUCCAUACGGAUAUGGAAUAUUGUACGGAUAUUAUGAUACGGAUAUUAUCCAUGACUGAUAAACAUUUGGAAGUGUGCUUGAGGCUGGCUAUCAGCAGCUACUGUCCGGACUAUGCAUCCCUGGCUGGUUCAAUUCAGUGCAAGUCAUCAAAGUAAACUCAGGUAAUUACAAAAAAUGUUAAUAGUUAAUUAUGUGUGUUUUGCAAUAUUGGCUCAUUUGGUUAUGUAAGGUACAUCAACAUACAUUGUACGUACAAAUAAUCCUCAAUACAUUUGAAAAUAAAUAGAUGUUUUGCAUUUUUGUAGUGGGUAGAUCAUUUUGACUCGGUCAUUUUAAAAGUAGCUCGCAUGCUGAAAAAGUGUGAGCACCCCUGAGCUACACUAAUAUCCCACUUCAUGUUUUCCAGGGAAAAAACACUUAGUUCAACAUUUCCUAAUUUAAAGGCAAUCCGGGACAUCCCUACUUCCUGUUUGCGCUCUGCCGAGGGCCUCUCAGGUGUGCUUUUAUUAGUUUUACUAUGUUUAAACUUGGCCUUCGGGCACAUUGCCUUUACAGUUGAAUCAAGUUGGUCAACUUUGGAGUACUCACUAUGCUUUUUACGAGUGUUUCAUACUUCAAAACACAAAUAUAUAUUCCAAAUAGAACACUUACUGUGUCUAAAGUCACUGGAAAAGUCCGAGUCCCGCCUCCUUCAAGCGCCAAUGCAGAUUUAACGUCAUACCAAACCUAAAAAUACAAAAUCAACAUAUUUGCAUUUUGCCGACAAAGCCUCUUUGGGAAGAAUCAAUAUUUAGUUAUUAAUAUUUACCUGCUCUUCUCCGGGAAAGAGGACUAGAAUUUCCUGAACGCCGGAUUCCGUGACGGGACACGCCAUGAGUGCGUCUCCUGCGACAAAAGUCAAUGCACUAGUUAGAGUACCGUAGUCGUACCGGGCCUAAGUCUGCUAAAGCGAGAGCGUGUUGGUUCACCCAGCAUGUACUGGUGGUCCAGUCUGAAGGUGCUGCGCUCCUUCGGGAACUCCAUCCAUAAAGGUCUGGAGGGUUGGACACCAAAAGGGUCACUUUAGUUCCGGUUUCUACAUUUAUGUCACACACAUGCUACUUGUUGAGAGUACGGGUGGCCCGUGGGCUACGUACGGGUUUGAGCCCUCGGCUGCGAUGUAAGGCCCGUUUAGAAGAACAUAAUAAAAACGACAUUCAAACCUCGAGCAACCUUUCCAUGUCAACAAUAGUGGCGCUAACCAGGUUUGGGAUUUCCCAACAUCCUUGAGUGUGACAGUCCUGACUGUGUGUGACUUUUCCCACGCUUUGAGAGGUACUUGAAGAGGACCACUUUGGCGGUUUUAGUUCCCAGGAGGAGGAUGAGGACAACCAUGAAUAACAUUUCUGAAAACCUGAUGCGGCCCAGCCUCGCCCAGACCCUAGGUGCAGUGGCCCCCAGGUGGCGCUGCAAGCCUGCCGGGUCAGGGAACAAGUCCGAGUCCCAGGUGAAAGAUCGCUUCCCGUUCAUGUGCUCUAUGUCCAGCCACAUGACAUCGUAGGGGAUGUUGUGCUUGUCGAAUCCGGCGUCCACGGCCUUCAGGUCCUCCUCCGAGUCUUUGUCCCAGCGGGAGUGGUGGUAGCCGAGGGUGAAGAGAGGCGGGAGGACUUGGUAUCCUGGUGGGAGUCAUACCGUGAUGGUUAGAUAAUGGUCAUAGAGGGGUGGGGGGGUACGGUCUCACCUGUCAAC